CCUUGGCAAGAUCGCUUCACCUAUACCUCAGUUUCUUCUUCUGUAAAAUCAGGGAUACGUAUUCAUGGUAGAAAGGAGAGACUAUGGAGAAGCAGAAGGAAUUCAAUAAAAGUCACAGGGCAGAUUUUCUCAGGAAGAUGACCCUCUAAGCAUCUUGGUUCUAUUCCUCUCACUCAGAGCUAAGUGAACGUGGAUAUGGGCUGGCGGCCAACAUGGUAAAAGAUUAACAACGCAGACACUGAUAUAAAUCAGAAAGACUCCUGCAGUUCAGAAUCAAAGGGGUUAUGAUAUAAUGAGAUCAGCAUACCAGAGAUCCCUCAGCUUUUCGCACUGAGUCACAUGGCCGGCGGGCAGGAUUUCUUUCAUCAGACUCUUUAACCCAUCUGCCAUCUCAUUUAGUGUCGUUUCUAAGUGUAUUUACAGGAUUGUGACUGUGCAAGACAACACGCAUCCUCAUCAAGGACAUUCCUAUCACGCCAAGGAGAAACUUCAUCUCCAUGAGGAGUCACUCUUCAUUCCCACCUCCAGCCACAGGCCACAGCUAAUCUAUUUUCUGUCUGUAUCUGCCUUUUCUGGACACUGGAUAUAAUUGGAACCACAUAGUAUGUGGUCAUGUCCCUUUUGUCCCUUCAUGUCCCUUUUACUUAGCAUAAUGUAUUUGAAGUCCAUUCACAUUUUAGUAUGCGUCAC